rnacentral:piRNA from 1 species
UAAGAAAGUGACCUCAAAGUACACGGAUGUC